rnacentral:tRNA from 1 species
GGGCCUAUAGCUCAGAUGGUUAGAGCGCACGCCUGAUAAGCGUGAGGUCAGUGGUUCGAUCCCACUUAGGCCCA